rnacentral:rRNA from 1 species
GAUGAACGCUGGCGGCGUGCCUAAUGCAUGCAAGUCGAGCGAACGGACGAGAAGCUCGCUUUUCUGAUGUUAGCGGCGGACGGGCGAGUAACACGUGGAUAACCUACCUAUAAUACUGGGAUAAUUUCGGGAAACCGGUGCUAAUACCGGAUAAUAUUUUGAACCGCAUGGUUCAAAAGUGAAAGACGCUCUUGCUGUCACUUAUAGAUGGAUCCGCGCUGCAUUAGCUAGUUGGUAAGGUAACGGCUUACCAAGGCAACGAUGCAUAGCCGACCUGAGAGGGUGAUCGGCCACACUGGAACUGAGACACGGUCCAGACUCCUACGGGAGGCAGCAGUAGGGAAUCUUCCGCAAUGGGCGAAAGCCUGACGGAGCAACGCCGCGUGAGUGAUGAAGGUCUUCGGAUCGUAAAACUCUGUUAUUAGGGAAGAACAUAUGUGUAAGUAACUGUGCACAUCUUGACGGUACCUAAUCAGAAAGCCACGGCUAACUACGUG